GUGGGGAAUCUUGCGCAAUGGGCGAAAGCCUGACGCAGCCAUGCCGCGUGAAUGAUGAAGGUCUUAGGAUUGUAAAAUUCUUUCACCGGGGACGAUAAUGACGGUACCCGGAGAAGAAGCUCCGGCUAACUUCGUGCCAGCAGCCGCGGUAAUACGAAGGGGGCUAGCGUUGCUCGGAAUUACUGGGCGUAAAGGGCGCGUAGGCGGACAGCUUAGUCAGAGGUGAAAGCCCAGGGCUCAACCUUGGAAUUGCCUUUGAUACUGGCUGUCUUGAGUUUGGGAGAGGUGAGUGGAACUCCGAGUGUAGAGGUGAAAAUCGUAGAUAUUCGGAAGAACACCAGUGGCGAAGGCGACUCACUGGCCCAAUACUGACGCUGAGGCGCGAAAGCGUGGGGAGCAAACAGGAUUAGAUACCCCUGUAGUCC
rnacentral:rRNA from 1 species